rnacentral:rRNA from 1 species
UACGUAGGUGACAAGCGUUGUCCGGAUUUACUGGGCGUAAAGAGCGCGCAGGCGGUCGAUCAAGUCGAGUGUGAAAGCCCCCGGCUCAACUGGGGAGGGUCAUUCGAUACUGAUCGACUCGAAGGCAGGAGAGGGUAGUGGAAUUCCCGGUGUAGUGGUGAAAUGCGCAGAUAUCGGGAGGAACACCGGUGGCGAAGGCGGUUCUCUGGGCCUUACCUGGACGCUGAGGAGCGAAAGCGUGGGGAGCGAAACAGG